AUAGCUCAGCUGGUAGAGCGCAACCUUGCCAAGGUUGAGGUCGCGAGUUCGAACCUCGUU
rnacentral:tRNA from 1 species